rnacentral:rRNA from 1 species
AGAGUUUGAUCCUGGCUCAGGACGAACGCUGGCGGCACGCUUAACACAUGCAAGUCGAACGAGAGAAGAGAAGCUUGCUUUUCUGAUCUAGUGGCGGACGGGUGAGUAACACGUGAGCAAUCUGCCUUUCAGAGGGGGAUACCGAUUGGAAACGAUCGUUAAUACCGCAUAACAUAAUUGAACCGCAUGAUUUGAUUAUCAAAGAUUUAUCGCUGAAAGAUGAGCUCGCGUCUGAUUAGCUAGUUGGUAAGGUAACGGCUUACCAAGGCGACGAUCAGUAGCCGGACUGAGAGGUUGAUCGGCCACAUUGGGACUGAGACACGGCCCAGACUCCUACGGGAGGCAGCAGUGGGGAAUAUUGCACAAUGGAGGAAACUCUGAUGCAGCGAUGCCGCGUGAGGGAAGAAGGUUUUAGGAUUGUAAACCUCUGUCUUCAGGGACGAAAAAUGACGGUACCUGAGGAGGAAGCUCCGGCUAACUACGUGCCAGCAGCCGCGGUAAUACGUAGGGAGCGAGCGUUGUCCGGAAUUACUGGGUGUAAAGGGAGCGUAGGCGGGAUCGCAAGUCAGAUGUGAAAACUAUGGGCUUAACCCAUAAACUGCAUUUGAAACUGUGGUUCUUGAGUGAAGUAGAGGUAAGCGGAAUUCCUAGUGUAGCGGUGAAAUGCGUAGAUAUUAGGAGGAACAUCAGUGGCGAAGGCGGCUUACUGGGCUUUAACUGACGCUGAGGCUCGAAAGCGUGGGGAGCAAACAGGAUUAGAUACCCUGGUAGUCCACGCCGUAAACGAUGAUUACUAGGUGUGGGGGGACUGACCCCUUCCGUGCCGCAGCAAACGCAAUAAGUAAUCCACCUGGGGAGUACGACCGCAAGGUUGAAACUCAAAGGAAUUGACGGGGGCCCGCACAAGCAGUGGAGUAUGUGGUUUAAUUCGACGCAACGCGAAGAACCUUACCAAGUCUUGACAUCCCUUGACGAACAUAGAAAUAUGUUUUCUCUUCGGAGCAAGGAGACAGGUGGUGCAUGGUUGUCGUCAGCUCGUGUCGUGAGAUGUUGGGUUAAGUCCCGCAACGAGCGCAACCC